rnacentral:rRNA from 1 species
UUUGGCUUGUCCAUCAUUAUCUAUUUACUGUGAAACGUAUUAUUACUUGACGCCUGAGGGAUGUUCCAUUGCUAUAAGGAUAGGCAGCGGAAAUGUUAACCGAGUCAUAAUCAAGCUUAGGCUUGGUAUCCUAUUAUUAUUUACCAAAAGAAUUCAGAAUUAAUAUUGUAACAUAGACGUAAAAAAUCUAUAAAACAACUUUUAACAACGGAUCUCUUGGUUCUCGCAUCGAUGAAGAACGUAGCAAAGUGCGAUAACUAGUGUGAAUUGCAUAUUCAGUGAAUCAUCGAGUCUUUGAACGCAACUUGCGCUCAUUGGUAUUCCAAUGAGCACGCCUGUUUCAGUAUCAAAACAAACCCUCUAUCCAACUUUUGUUGAAUAGGAUGACUGAGAGUCUCCUGAUCGUCAGAUCUCGAACCUCUUGAAAUGUACAAAGGCCUGAUCUUGUUUGAAUGCCUGAACUUUUUUUUAAUAUAAAGAGAAGCUCUUGCGGUAAACUGUGCUGGGGCCUCCCAAAUAACACUUU